UACGUAGGGCGCAAGCGUUAUCCGGAAUUAUUGGGCGUAAAGAGCUCGUAGGCGGUUUGUCGCGUCUGCUGUGAAAACCCGAGGCUCAACCUCGGGCCUGCAGUGGGUACGGGCAGACUAGAGUGCGGUAGGGGAGAUUGGAAUUCCUGGUGUAGCGGUGGAAUGCGCAGAUAUCAGGAGGAAUACCGAUGGCGAAGGCAGGUCUCUGGGCCACUACUGACGCUGAGAAGCGAAAGCAUGGGGAGCAAACAGG
rnacentral:rRNA from 1 species